rnacentral:tRNA from 1 species
GAAAGUUAGUCUAAUCAAGACAGUUGAUUUCGACUCAACAAAUCACAGGUACUCCCCUGUGACUUUCUU